rnacentral:rRNA from 1 species
UACGUAGGGUGCAGGCGUUAAUCGGAAUUACUGGGCGUAAAGCGUGCGCAGGCGGUUUCUUAAGUCAGAUGUGAAAGCCCCGGGCUUAACCUGGGAACUGCGUUUGAAACUGGGAGACUUGAGUGUGGCAGAGGGGGGUGGAAUUCCACGUGUAGCAGUGAAAUGCGUAGAUAUGAUGGAGGAACACCAAUGGCGAAGGCAGCCCCCUGGGUCAACACUGACGCUCAUGCACGAAAGCGUGGGGAGCAAACAGG